rnacentral:rRNA from 1 species
UAGGGAAUCUUCCGCAAUGGGCGAAAGCCUGACGGAGCAACGCCGCGUGAGUGAUGAAGGUCUUCGGAUCGUAAACCUCUGUUAUUAGGGAAGAACAAAUGUGCAAGUAACUAUGCCCGUCUUGACGGUACCUAAUCAGAAAGCCACGGCUCACUACGUGCCAGCAGCCUCUGUAAUACGUAGGUGGCAAGCGUUAUCCGGAAGUAUUGGGCGUAAAGCGCGCGUAGGAGGUUUUUUAAGUCUAAGGUGAAAGCCCACAGCUCAACCGUGGAGGUGCAUUGGAAACUGGAUAACUUGAGUGCAGAACAGGAAAGUGGAAUUCCAUGUGUGUCGGUGAAAUGCGCAGAGAUAUGUAGGAACACCAGUGGCGCAGGCGACUUUCUGAUCUGUAACUGACGCUGAUGUGCGAACGCGUGAUGAUCAAACUGU